rnacentral:tRNA from 1 species
GCCUCUUUAGCUCAGUGGCAGAGCACUGGUCUCGUAAACCAGGGGUCGUGAGUUCAAUCCUCACAGGAGGCA